CGCUGGCGGCAUGCUUUACACAUGCAAGUCGAACGGCAGCGCGGGGCAACCUGGCGGCGAGUGGCGAACGGGUGAGUAAUAUAUCGGAACGUACCCAAGAGUGGGGGAUAACGUAGCGAAAGUUACGCUAAUACCGCAUACGAUCUAAGGAUGAAAGUGGGGGAUCGCAAGACCUCAUGCUCCUGGAGCGGCCGAUAUCUGAUUAGCUAGUUGGUGAGGUAAAGGCUCACCAAGGCGACGAUCAGUAGCUGGUCUGAGAGGACGACCAGCCACACUGGGACUGAGACACGGCCCAGACUCCUACGGGAGGCAGCAGUGGGGAAUUUUGGACAAUGGGCGCAAGCCUGAUCCAGCAAUGCCGUGUGAGUGAAGAAGGCCUUCGGGUUGUAAAGCUCUUUUGUCAGGGAAGAAACGGCUCAGCUAAUAUCCUGGGCUAAUGACGGUACCUGAAGAAUAAGCACCGGCU
rnacentral:rRNA from 1 species